rnacentral:rRNA from 1 species
GACGAACGCUGGCGGCGCGCCUAACACAUGCAAGUCGAACGGAGUCACGAGGAGCUUGCUUUUCUUGACUUAGUGGCGAACGGGUGAGUAACGCGUGAGUAACCUGCCCUGGAGUGGGGGACAACAGUUGGAAACGACUGCUAAUACCGCAUAAGCCCACGGAUCCGCAUGGAUCUGCGGGAAAAGGAUUUAUUCGCUUCAGGAUGGACUCGCGUCCAAUUAGCUAGUUGGUGAGGUAACGGCCCACCAAGGCGACGAUUGGUAGCCGGACUGAGAGGUUGGACGGGCACCAUGGGGACGAGGACCCGCCCCAGACUCUAACGGAGGGCGGCAGGGGGGGUAAUGGAAAAUGGGGGGAAACCUGGUGCCGCCGAGGCGGGUGGAAGAAAAAGGUUUUUCGGUUGUAAAACCCUGGUCUUAGGGACGAUAAUGACGGUACCUAACAAGAAAGCACCGGCUAACUACGUG